GUCAAUCACCACAACUGGAUGCCAUUAUCCCUUGUCUUUUCAUUUCAAUUCACCGUUCCAGCUUUUAUGAUACCAGUUCCCAAAACUUAUCUUUUACUUCUGCUAUCAAUUUCUUUGAAAACCUCUCUUGUCACUUUCACCUUCGUCUCUUCGGCUCUCAACCUGGUUGCCUUAAUCUCCGAUUUUCUUCCUCGCGAUGAGUAUGGCUUGGUUCCUCCCCUUGCAGCUAAUAUCCUACUCCCCUCUUCAAAGCUUCUUUGGCAAGGAAAUGAGCAUAACCAUUUUCUGAUCUAGGGAUAAUAUGAAACUCGAUAUUUUGAAAAUAUGCCUUUUUGCUCUGAAUGUCUCUGAUGAGCGCUCCUAUAAUUGAUUUGUCUGGAUCUUUUGUUUGGCAUUUCUUUAUCACUGUUUUUGAAUCCCCCACUAUUUGUAAACUGUUCAAACCCAUGGAAAUGGCUAACUGCAUCACUUAUAACCCUGCAUGUGCUUCCGUUGCGAACGGUGUCGGUAUAUCGGAGUGGAUAACCGUUUUGGAUACCAAGAUUUCACCCCUCUCAUCACGUACUGCCAGACCCGAAGCUGAUCUGGAGGAUAUCUUUUCAAAAGCCGCAUAAAAAAAGACAGUGACCCUUGUGCUUCUUGUUGUAUGUUCAUGACCUUUAACAACAUUUAAAGUAAGUUUUUUUUCUGUUCUACUCCAUUCAACUCUGAAAUGUAGGUCCUGACUUGAUUCGAGAUAUCUCUGCCUGUAGAGUUCUUUCUUUCAAAAACUAACUGAUUUUUGGAUGUCCGGAUUGACCAUAGUCCGAAACAUAAUAGUCGACAUUGCUCAAUAUUUCCUCGUCUAUAAACCCAGGUGAGCCACUCCCAUAUACUGUUAAGGUCAUUAUUACAUACCUAGACAAGAUUUAAAUUUGACCACACAUCUAUUACUGUAGGACAGUAUCGAAAGAUAUGAUUGAUGUCUUUCUCAGGGGUGUGACAUCUGGGACAGAUAGCUGCUGUACCACUUUUUUAUUCUUGAGAUUUGAUAGAGUAGGAAUAUAGUUCCAUGAAAUUCUCCAAUUUGUAAUUUUAAUUUUUUGGAGGGAGAUGUAAAUUCCAUAAUUUCCUGUAGAAAUUUCUAGUCUCGGUCUGUAAAUAAUUAUUAUUAGGAUCCAAAUUAGCCUCCUGUAAUAGUUUAUAGGCACUCCUGACUGAGAAUUCUCCUGAUGAUUCCCCUCGCCAUACUUGGAAGUUCUCAUAAGCUAUCUCUGCCAGUGGGAUCUGCAGUAUUUUCCUUGCAACAUCCGUAUUGAAGGAACUAAUGACUAAAUCUUUUUUCCAAGUUCUGCUAGCUAGAUCAAUCAAAUCUGAUACUGUCUUAAUAUUUUCAUUACUAGUCUCAUUUUGUAAUCUGUCUAUUUCAGCUCCCGAUAUCCAUAAGUCUCCCCAAAUGAAAAUACAAUCCCCCGUGCCAACCCUCCAACAUAGUCCUUUCUCCAAGAUUCCUUUAGCUGCCCAGACACUCUUCCAGGAAGACCAAGGUAUCUUUACGGAUUAUUUGAACUUCGUACUCCAAGAAUCCUGGAAAUUGUUGUUUUGUCCCUCUCUUGUGUAUUAGAACUAAAUAAAAUUGUAGAUUUUCCAUAGUUGACGCAUUGACCAGAACAAUUCUCGUAUUUAAUCAAAA